AAAUAAGAAGUAAAUUAUUACAUUUAGUUUCGACCUAAAAUCCUGGUGACAUCUCACCCUUAUUUA
rnacentral:tRNA from 1 species